ensembl:lncRNA
AUGACCAGCCGGCCUCUUCUCUGCGCCCUGCUGCUGCUCUCCUGGAGGCUGCUUGUAGCUGAAGAGACCACUACGAAAGCUCUCACGAACACCUCUCCUACCAGUUUCCCCACCACCUCCCAUAGUAGCUCCCCCUCCCCUCCCACCUCUGACAGUGGCUCCCCAUCCCCCUUCCCUUCCACCUCCCACAGUAGCUCCCCCUCCCCUCCCACCUCUGACAGUGGCUCCCCAUCCCCCUUCCCCACCACCUCCCAUAGUAGCUCCCCCUCCCCUCCCACCUCUGACAGUGGCUCCCCAUCCCCCUUCCCUUCCACCUCCCACAGUAGCUCCCCCUCCCCUCCCACCUCUGACAGUGGCUCCCCAUCCCCCUUCCCUUCCACCUCCCACAGUAGCUCCCCCUCCUCUCCCACCUCUGACAGUGGCUCCCCAUCCCCCUUCCCUUACACCUCCCACAGUAGCUCACCCUCCUCUCCCACCUCUGACAGUGGCUCCCCAUCCCCCUUCCCUUCCACCUCCCACAGUAGCUCACCCUCCUCUCCUAACUCCCACAGUGGCUCCCAGUCCACCACCUCCUCCCACAGUGGCUCUACCUCCCACACCAGCUGGCCCUUCUCCCCAACUACCUUUGGGGGCUCCUCCCCAAACUCCAACACCUUCUCUGGAGAUCCAUCAGCUGCUACGAGUAUGACAACCCCAGAGGAGGGGUCCACCACGCUGGGGAUCAGUGCCAGUUCAGGUGAGGGUCCAGCCUUGUUGGGUUACCCCCCUCUCAGUCAGGCUAAGACCUGAGAGGCUGGUCAUCAUCUGGAAGUGCACCAGGUGGCGCUGCUGCCACGUGGGAACUCAAGCAGGUGUCAGGGCAGCUAAAGUAGAAGUGAGCUCUGCUGGGAAGGUUGUUGAUCUAAGGAAAGAGAGAUGAAGGUGUGGGUUAGACUCCAGAGUACCCAGAGUACUCUGCUUGGGUAUCCUUCCCUCCAUUCCCCACCCCUUCCCUUAUUCAAGGGGACCUGCAGGGGCAGCAGCAAUGGGGAGAAGGGAUGGAUGACAUUGAUGGGGAGAGGGGAAGAGCCUGACUGGGAAUUUCCUUCCCCACUCCAGCCCCAGGGGGGACCCAGCGCAAUCCUGCUGUGGUGAUUGUGGUCUGCUUGCUCGUAUCCGUUCUGGUCCUGGGCUCUGCUAUGGUGGCUGUGAAAUGCUGCCAGAAGAAUGUGAGAGGCUUUGAGAAGAUGGAUGAGAUGCCCAUGGUCUGUGCCUCUGAGGAAAGAUCACCCUGAUUCCUGUCUGAUGAGCCCUUCCUUCCUUCCCCCCUUUCUCUCUCUCCUCCUUUCCUCGUUCUCUCCCUCAUUUCCUUCCCUCUUUCUCUCCCUCACUCUUUCUCUCUCUCCCUCCUUCCUUCCCUCUUUCUCUCCCUCUCCCAUUCUCUCCCUCCUCUUUUCUCUUCCUCUUGUCUUGCUACCCCUUUCUCUGCCCCCUUCUUUCCUCUCUCCUUUUUUCUCUCCUUUUACCAUUUUGUUCCUGUCUUCAUACCAUCUCACUCCGGGAGAAUUCCAGAGGAGUAGGUUGGCCUAAGGCAUUGGUGGCUCCAAGGAACCCCCAAACCUGGUCCUUCCUGCCUUCUCCUCACCACAAGGGGGGCAGCUCCCACCUGAAUAUCUCCUGUUUUGUUUCACUUUUCAGGCAACUGUUCGAGAGGAAUCACCCUUUGCAAAAUUACCCCCCCAGUGACCACAGAUGGCAAUGGGGGGCAGCUUCUGAGGGGCUGUUGGGACAGCUCCUGUUCACCCAUGCCCUCUACCCCCUCCCAUAAGGAUACUGGAGUCUGUCACUGAAUAAAACGAAGACUGAAAUGAGACA